rnacentral:rRNA from 1 species
CAGUCGCCGCGGUAAUGCGUAGGUGGCAAGCGUUGUCCGGAAUUAUUGGGCGUAAAGCGCGCGCAGGCGGAUAGGUCAGUCUGUCUUAAAAGUUCGGGGCUUAACCCCGUGAUGGGAUGAAAACUGCCAAUCUAGAGUAUCGGAGAGGAAAGUGGAAUUCCUAGUGUAGCGGUGAAAUGCGUAGAUAUUAGGAAGAACACCAGUGGCGAAGGCGACUUUCUGGACGAAAACUGACGCUGAGGCGCGAAAGCCAGGGGAGCGAACGGGAUUAGAUACCCCGGUAGUCCCUGUCUCUUAUACA